rnacentral:tRNA from 1 species
GGCGAGCUUAGCGCAGGUCGGUCCGGUGCUGGAACUUUCGUGAGGUCCAUCCGGGGUUUGACACCUCGCCCGCCA